UAAUAAGUGUUUUAUGGCACUUUUUAAAUCCAUAUCCACCUUGUGUGCAAUGUCAGUCGAUCUUCUCCAUGGAGAUUGACCAAACAUCAACCUUUAUUUUUUAACUCUUUGUCUGAAAAAUAUUAUGAAUAAACAAUUCAAAAUA
rnacentral:misc_RNA from 1 species